rnacentral:rRNA from 1 species
AAAAGUGAAAGACGGUCUUGCUGUCACUUAUAGAUGGAUCCGCGCUGCAUUAGCUAGUUGGUAAGGUAACGGCUUACCAAGGCAACGAUGCAUAGCCGACCUGAGAGGGUGAUCGGCCACACUGGAACUGAGACACGGUCCAGACUCCUACGGGAGGCAGCAGUAGGGAAUCUUCCGCAAUGGGCGAAAGCCUGACGGAGCAACGCCGCGUGAGUGAUGAAGGUCUUCGGAUCGUAAAACUCUGUUAUUAGGGAAGAACAUAUGUGUAAGUAACUGUGCACAUCUUGACGGUACCUAAUCAGAAAGCCACGGCUAACUACGUGCCAGCAGCCGCGGUAAUACGUAGGUGGCAAGCGUUAUCCGGAAUUAUUGGGCGUAAAGCGCGCGUAGGCGGUUUUUUAAGUCUGAUGUGAAAGCCCACGGCUCAACCGUGGAGGGUCAUUGGAAACUGGAAAACUUGAGUGCAGAAGAGGAAAGUGGAAUUCCAUGUGUAGCGGUGAAAUGCGCAGAGAUAUGGAGGAACA